UGGGGAAUAUUGCACAAUGGGGGAAACCCUGAUGCAGCGAUGCCGCGUGGAGGAAGAAGGUUUUCGGAUUGUAAACUCCUGUCUAAGGGGACGAUAAUGACGGUACCCUUAAAGAAAGCUCCGGCUAACUACGUGCCAGCAGCCGCGGUAAUACGUAGGGAGCGAGCGUUGUCCGGAAUUACUGGGUGUAAAGGGAGCGUAGGCGGGAUGGCAAGUCAGAUGUGAAAACUAUGGGCUCAACCCAUAGACUGCAUUUGAAACUGCUGUUCUUGAGUGAGGUAGAGGUAAGCGGAAUUCCUGGUGUAGCGGUGAAAUGCGUAGAGAUCAGGAGGAACAUCGGUGGCGAAGGCGGCUUACUGGGCCUUUACUGACGCUGAGGCUCGAAAGCGUGGGGAGCAAACAGG
rnacentral:rRNA from 1 species